AUGGAGGUGGAGCUCCCCGCCCGCGCCUCCUCCUCCCAGGCCAAGGCGAGGGAGACGCCGCCGCCCUCCCCGGCGGCUUCCGCUCCCGCCACCGCCGCAUCACCCGCGGAGGACGCGCCUCUCCUCCCGGGCGAGGGUGUCGUGCGGCGGCGCGCGGUGAGGGAGCGGUUCGCGGCGCGCAGCCUCUCCUUCCGCCGGGACGUCGGCCACGCGGCCUCCGAGACCUUCCUCCUCACCCGGCUCACGCUCACCCUUCUCCGCUACCUCGGGGUAGGCUACAGAUGGAUUCGUCAGUUCCUAGCUCUCUGUUGUUAUGCUCUAUUGCUCAUGCCUGGUUUUAUUCAAGUUUUAUAUUAUUACUUCUUCUCAAGCCAAGUUCAUAGAAGUGUUGUAUAUGGAGAGCAACCAAGAAACAGAUUGGAUUUGUAUAUACCAGCUGGCACGACAGGGUUGAAGCCAGUUGUGGCAUUUGUCACUGGUGGAGCAUGGAUCAUAGGGUACAAAGGGUGGGGUGCCCUUUUAGGCAGACGGUUAGCAGAAAGGGGCAUUUUAGUUGCAUGCAUUGAUUACAGAAACUUCCCUCAGGGGACUAUUGGUGACAUGGUAGAAGAUGUAUCCCGAGGAAUCUCUUUUGUCUGCAACAAUAUAGCUAGUUACGGAGGUGAUCCUGAAAGGAUUUAUCUUGUUGGACAAUCUGCUGGUGCACAUAUUGCUGCUUGUACUCUCGUAAAUCAGGCUAUCAGCGAAUGUGGCGAAGAUACUUCCACUUGGAGUGUUGUGCAACUAAAAGCAUACUUUGGUAUUUCUGGCGGUUAUAAUCUUCUUAACUUGCUUGAUCAUUUCCAUAGGCGUGGUCUGUACCGGUCCGUCUUUCUCAGCAUUAUGGAAGGUGAGGAAUCAUUGAAGAAGUUUUCUCCAGAAGUGGUGGUUAAGGAGGUAGCUGUUAGAUCUGCAGUUUCUCUAUUGCCUCGUAUCAUCCUUUUUCAUGGGACAGCUGACUGUUCAAUGCCCUCUGCAGAAAGUGAAGCAUUCCUUGAUGCUUUACAACAGCGUGGUGCUAGAGCGGAUCUAUUCUUAUAUGAAGGAAAGACACAUACUGAUUUAUUUCUUCAGGAUCCUCUUCGGGGUGGUAGGGAUAAGAUGCUGGAAGAGAUUGUGGCCGUGAUACAGAAUGACGACCCAGGGCUGUCCGCGCAGCACCUUGCCGUGCCCGUCGCACGCCGUCUUGUUCCUGAAUUCAUGCUGAGGCUUGCUGGGAGAGUGAGCCCUUUCUGA
rnacentral:rRNA from 1 species